rnacentral:rRNA from 1 species
UACGAGGGGGGCAAGUGUUGUUCGGAAUUACUGGGCGUAAAGGGCGCGUAGGCGGUCUCUUAAGUUGGAUGUUUAAAACCGGGGCCUAACCCCGGCGUGGCAUCCAAAACUGGGAGUCUUGAAUGGGACAGAGGCCAGUGGAAUUAGAGGUGUAGCGGUGGAAUGCGUAGAUAUCUCUAAGAACACCAGUUGCGAAGGCGGCUGGCUGGGUCCACAUUGACGCUGAGGCUCGAAAGCGUGGGGAGCAAACAGG